rnacentral:rRNA from 1 species
CCUACGGGUGGCAGCAGUGAGGAAUAUUGGUCAAUGGGCGCGAGCCUGACCCAGCCAAGUAGCGUGAAGGAUGACUGCCCUACGGGUUGUAAACUUCUUUUAUAAAGGAAUAAAGUGAGGCACGUGUGCCUUUUUGUAUGUACUUUAUGAAUAAGGGUCGGCUAACUCCGUGCCAGCAGCCGCGGUCAUACGGAGGAUACGAGCGUUAUCCGGAUUUAUUGGGUUUAAAGGGAGCGUAGAUGGGUUGGUAAGUCAGUUGUGAAAGUUUGCGGCGCAACCGUAAAAUUGCAAUUGAUACUGGCAGUCGUGAGUACAGUUGAGGUAGGCGGAAUUCGUGGUGUAGCGGUGAAAUGCGUAGAUAUCACGAAGAACUCCGAUUGCGAAGGCAGCUUACUA